rnacentral:tmRNA from 1 species
GGGGGCGACUGGUUUCGACUGAGAAGGCGGAACUUUGAUUGCAUGCCGAGGAUGAUCGUUGGCCUCGUAAAUCACCGGUCAAAAAUAGUAACUGCGAACGAAGAAUUCGCCCUCGCCGCUUAAUGCGGUGACGUCUCUCUCCUGACGAAUGCUAAGGAAAAGAGGCGCAAGACAGCGUUCUGGCCAAAGCGCUAAUUCUCUGGCGCCCAGGUAAGAUAAAGGGGAACAGUCUGAAGGAUGGCCUGUCCGCCGGCCCCGCCAGAGGACGAUAAACAGUAAAGACGGAACACGCAUGUAGAGGUCAUGGGAAAACCUCGUCAGGACGGGGGUUCGAAUCCCCCCGCCUCCACCA